GCAACGGUAGUGCAGUGGUCAGCACGCACGUCUGAGAUGGGUGAGAUACGUGUUCGAAUCCCUUCUGACGUUCU